rnacentral:rRNA from 1 species
CGCACGGGUGAGUAACACGUAUCCAACCUGCCGUCUACUCUUGGACAGCCUUCUGAAAGGAAGAUUAAUACAAGAUGGCAUCAUGAGUCCGCAUGUUCACAUGAUUAAAGGUAUUCCGGUAGACGAUGGGGAUGCGUUCCAUUAGAUAGUAGGCGGGGUAACGGCCCACCUAGUCUUCGAUGGAUAGGGGUUCUGAGAGGAAGGCCCCCCACACUGGGACUGAGACACGGCCCAGACUCCUACGGGAGGCAGCAG